UACGUAGGUCCCGAGCGUUGUCCGGAUUUAUUGGGCGUAAAGCGAGCGCAGGUGGUUUAAUAAGUCUGAUGUAAAAGGCAGUGGCUCAACCAUUGUGUGCAUUGGAAACUGUUAGACUUGAGUGCAGUAGAGGAGAGUGGAAUUCCAUGUGUAGCGGUAAAAUGCGUAGAUAUAUGGAGGAACACCGGUGGCGAAAGCGGCUCUCUGGACUGUAACUGACACUGAGGCUCGAAAGCGUGGGUAGCAAACAGG
rnacentral:rRNA from 1 species